AAGUACUAUAGAAGGAACUAUUACAGCUUAAAGAGAUGGAACAUCUGUGCGGAGUUCCUUCCUUUUUGCUCCAUUCCAGUCAGCAGCUUCCAUGCUUGGUUUUUGGAGCAGAGUUGCAGAGCCAAAUCAUCUGGUUUGUGUGCUGAGUCCAAAAAACACUGCUGCAUAUUUUCCCCAAGGAGCAAGCCAGGGAGAGGCAAUCUGAAAGAUCACAGUAGGUUUGAGGUGAGAACUUCCAGAACUUCCUUGAAAAUAAAGGCUGUAUGUGAUAAAAGAACUGUUCUCCAGCCAUUGCCUCUGUGUUUUCUCUCUUGUAUUAAAUGACAGUAGAGGUCAAAUGCCAUUUGCUUUUCUGCUCCUUCAGGACCUAUUUUUGGUACUAUUUCCUUCACUUUAGCCUUUGAGGUUACUGUUCUUCAGUGGAAAGAGCAAUGGGGUGAGAAUUGACAUCUUGGGGGUUAUGGGGCUCAUUUAUCAGGCUGUGCCAGCAUUGGUCCUAUUCCUGACUCUGGGCCUGUUUGUGGCCUGUGUUCUGCCUGGAUUGCUCCUCCAUUGGCUCUUGGCAUGUUGAAUUUGUAGUUUUUCACUCUUCAGCUUAUAUAGCACUUCUUCAGAGAAGCCUACCUUGACUGUCCCACCUAAUGUAACCAGCAUCCCCCCAGCCUACUCACUGUCUGGGUCAUAUUCCUCUGAUGUCUUUCAUAGCAACUCACCACUAUGUGAGAUAAUCUAGUUUAUUUACUUGUUUAAUUUUUCUCCCUCUUCUCUCCACACUAGACUGUAACCUCUGUGCAGACAGGGACCAUGUCAGCUGACCUUGUUCAGCUAUUGUAUACACCCAAUGCUUAGCCCAGGGCCUGGUACAUUCUGGGUGGUUGGGAGCUGUGUGUUCAAUAAAUGAAUGAAGAGGACAGAGGGCAAUGCAGGACCGAUAUAAUGUUCCUUUUUGGAGUGUACAGCCCCAAAACAGAUUCAGCCAAGAUUUGUUGAGCUCACUGACCUCUAUCCACAUCUGCUGAUUCAUACGGGAAUAAAUGAUAUCAUCAAACGAGACUGAACUAGCUCUUUAGUGAUUCUAAAGUUAGAUGUAAAGCUUGAAGGACUUGGAGUACAGGUAACAUUUUAUUUUCUUUCAUAGGGUAAAAGGGAUGACUUGGGCAGAGAAUGGAAAUUAACAAUUGACCACAUUCAUAAUGUUGAGAAGGAUCUGG
rnacentral:lncRNA from 1 species